rnacentral:lncRNA from 1 species
GCUGGGGAUUUAGCUCAGUGGUUUUGCCGCCUGCUGCACAAGCACAAGGACCCGAGUUCGAUUCCCGGUAUCCCCCCCCCCCCAAAUUUAAUUUUUUGAGACACUGCAUUCCCAUGAUUCAUGGUUUAGCAAGAUCAGGCUGUCCUCCCUCUCCCUCCCAUAAGCAGCCACAUUAUGGCUUCCAGAAGGGCCUUGAAGACUCACUGAUUUGCCAAACCAGGAAAAAGUCCCUGGGCCUUAAAAUUACUCCUUAUUUUUAUAAAGAUUAAAUACAGUAAAAAUCAGUCUGGGUAUCUAUUUGCUUCAUAUUACUGAUUCAAAAUUCGUACUAUGCCUUUAAUCCCAAAGAGAAGGAGUACUUUCUUAUUCAUUAAGGCAGUUUCCAGAUAUUCAAAGGAAUGCAACAGAACCAGGAUAUCACAUUACUAGGAUAUACAUGUAGCCUUCCAAGGGAUGUUCUUGUUUUCCCAACUAAUCUGCAGAUUCAAUGCAAUCCUUUUCAAAAUCACAGCAGGGGCCUGCACCCCCACCCACAUACACAGGGGACUGAACUCAGAGCCUUCACACUGAACUACAUCCUGAGCCCUUUUUAUUAUUUUUAUUUUAAGACUCAGGGUCUCACUAGGUCCUAAGUUACCCAACUUGGCACUGUAUAGUGCUGGGAUUAAGGUAUAAGGCACCACUCCUGGAUUCUAGACGGCUUUUAAAAACAGAAACUGACUGGGCCGGGAUUUAGCUCAGUGGUUCUGCUAUCUGCCUCAUGGGUGCAAGGUCCCAAGUUUGAUCCCUGGUACCAAAAAAACAAAAAAACCACCCAGAAACCGAUAAAUAUUCUAUGGAAAUACAAAGGGCUUAACAGACCAGGGGUGGGGGGCAAAUUUGGAGCACUUACACUACCAAAUAUCCAGACUUAUUACAAAUCUGGAAUAAUCAAGACACUGGAUAAAAGAUAUAGCGAUAUAAAGAUAUCUGUACAAGUCAAAGAAAAGGAUAAAGAAUGUAUGGGCUGGGGAUUUAGCUCAGUGGUUUUGCCGCCUGCUGCACAAGUGCAAGGAUAUGAGUUCGAUCCCUGGUACCAAAAACAAAAAAAGUUCCAAAGAAUAAAAAAUGUAGAAACAGAAUCAUGAAUAUAUGGCCAAUACAUUUUCAAAAAUAAUAUGGUAGUUCAUUGAGGACAGAAAGUUGCUUCAACAAACACCAGGAGAGCCACAUGGAUAAAGGUUAACUAUGACCUAGCCUACAUCACUAAUAUAAAAAAUUACAGUUGCCCCUUCUCUUUCUCCAAUUCUUCAUCUGCAGAUUCAACCAAAUGCAGAGUAAGAAUAUUUUGGAGAAAAACUGUUUCUGUAUUAUCCAUGUGUAGGGUGUAUUUUCCCCAUUAUUUCCUAAUAUCAUAACACCACAACAAGGCUAUAAUAAUUACUAGCAUGUAAGCAUUUACAUUGUAUUGGGUAUGAUACCUAUCUAGAGUUGAUUUAAAAUACACAAAAGGAUGGGUAGACAUUAUGUGUAAAUGCAAUGCAUUUUACAUGACAAAACUGAGCACUGGAAGACUCUGAUACAAUCUUGGGAUCCUGGACACAAGAUUCCACAGAUACUGUAUUUGAAAUGGAAAAUAGAACCAAACAAGAAAGUUAAAAAACUAUUGUUAAAAAAAAAAUUUGCAAACUUGUGUAACCAUAGGAAAGAAAAUGAUCUAAAUGAAAACCUACUGUUCUCCAAAAGAUUCUUUUUAAAAUAUAUUAUGACACACCAUAUAUUUGGAGAAAAUAUCCUCAUAUGUAUUACUGAUAAAAAUUUCAAUCCAGGUUUAAUUAUAAAAUUUUACUGUAACUCAAUUAUGAAGAAAUAGUUCAAAAUUUUAUAAAGAGCAAAUGAUGAUGGACGGGGAUUUAGCUCAGUGGUGCUGUGGCUGUCUUGCUAAGUGCAAGGUCCUGAGUUCGAUCCUUGACACUGGGGGGAGCAAAUGAUGGUGAAAAAUAAGAUACACAUAUAACCAAUAAACAGAAAUAUGCUCCACAUAUUAGUCAUUGGAAAAAUGCAGAUUUAAACUACAGUGAUACACUAAAUACUAUUUCACAUGCAGGAAAAUAUUAAACUAAAGGCAUACAAUACAUGCAAGUAUUGUUGACAAAGUAGAGCAACUGGAGCUCUCCUAAGAUACAAAUGGACCAGCCCCUUUGGAAGGAGGUUACAGGGUUCCCACAGAGUGAAAUACACACGUACUUUACAACCCAGCAAUUACCUUGAUACUUGUCAGGCCUACCCUCAAUCAACAGGGAAAAACAAACAGGCUGCUUUUAACAAAUACCAGCAGCUUCCCAGUAAGUGAGGCACGUGGACUAAAAAAUAUGGCUUACAUACAAACCCCUGAAGCCAGAAAGUCCAGUGACUGUAUACGUAUCUAUCCAGGCCAUCCUUGGGCAGCUGUCACCCCAUAAAUAUAUCAUCCCAGAUUCCUUAACCCCUUCAAUACCCAUACAAGCCUAAUUCCUUUCCCAGUUACUUGCUAGUAUCUCUCUCCCCUGGUGUUAGCCCAUCCUCUCAGGGAUAAAAUCUCUCCCAGCCAGCUGCCACUAACUCUCUCCCACUGUCAGUCCAUCCACACGUGGAUGUGAUAAAAACUCUUUUCUCAGUUAGCUGCUAAAAAUUCCUGAUUUCUAGUCUCUGUUCAAUAGAAUAAACUUUUCUUUUUCUCACAAUGGAGAGCCUGUCUUUUGUUGACAAGUGGAUUUUUUAUAACAAUACUUACUUG